AACUCUCGGCAACAGAUAUCUCGGCUCUCGCAUCGAUAAGGAAUGUAGUGAAAUGCGAUACUUGGUGUGAAUUGCAGAAUCCUGUGAGCCAUCGAGUGUUUGAAUGCAAGUCGCUCCCGAAGCCAUUAGGACUUGGGCACGUCUGCCUGGGUGUCA